rnacentral:misc_RNA from 1 species
UGCACCAAAUAAACAGCAAUAUUAAGGUAAAGUUCAAUUAUUACCAUGAGGCAACUAAGAUUAGAACAGAGUCACAAAAUAUAAUGAAAUCAUUAGGUUAUGCAGGCCCUUCCUAUUUCCAAUGAGGAUAUGGCAUUCAUGAUGCGUAAACAGAAUAUGCUUAGUUACUUUCUUCUGGUUUCUCCUUAAAUUAUCACAAAGAGUGUUAAAAAGAACUUGCAAUUUUCCCUAUCCAUCUUCCAUUGUGCUUCCUUUUUUCUUAAACUCCAUUUCCAUCUCUCCUUUUAUUUUACAUACUUUGAAAGGCUUUAUUGAAAUUUAUUUAAGUAUAUGGCAAGCCUUGUUAUAUGGCUACGUUCAAUGUUAGGCAUUAAGAGAGCCAAGUCGAGUCAAUACAAUAUCAAGCUCAAACUCGACUCAACUAAAAACUCAAGGCUCAAAACUCAACUCGAUCAAGCUUUCUUUUUCCAUGCUCGAACUCAACUCGAUUAAACAUUUAAAAUACUCGAGCUCAACUUGGCUAGGCUCUGCUCGACUCAUCUAUCAUUAUAAAUUUAAAUAAAAUUUUGUUAAUUUCGAAUUAAAGCUCAAAUAAGGUUUAGUUCAAACUAAAUUUGGUAUUUUCAUCACAUAUAUUUAGGGUAAAAUGGUGAAUACAAUAAUUUACCAUUUAAAUAUCUAAAAUAUAUUAAAACCAUAUAAAAAAAAUUAAAUACUUGAAUAAGCUCGUGAGCUACUUGAAACUCGGUUCGACCCAUUACUCAAACUGCUUGGGCUCGAGCUCAACUCAAUAAAAAUUGACUCAAAUUUGAAUAUUUUGCGAGUCAAGUUCGAGGAGCUUGACUCAUUUAUACCCCUAAUAGGCAUGUUCACCUUGAAAUGCCAACUCUUUGUCAAGGUUGUUAUUUCAAAUGGCAAUGCUUUUGCCAGGAUAGUAUCCCCAGUGCAGGAAAGUAACAGAAGCAGCAAUGCCAUCAGACUUGAUGCAUAAGGAAUUGUGGACUGGGAGCCAAAUGGAGUUUAUCAAACAGAAAAUCACCAUCAAAAUUUUAAAUAAGAAAGUCGAACAGCUCAAUUGAGGUAGGAAAAAGUAGAUGGAGGAGGAAGGAAAAAAGAAGGGAACAAUAGGAGACAUCAAAAAGAAACCAUCGAAGGUAAGAAAGGGAAGAAAAAUCAAAGGAAAAAGCUAAUAUAAUAUAUUCUAAUUUGAUUUUACUGAAAAAGAAGAACUCACAAAACAAAGUUCCUAACAUCAAAAAAUUCAAAAAAGGCACUAUAACUACUGCACUAUCAAUUGAAACAUAAGGGAACCACAUGACAACAGGACAUAAUAGUCAACUAUGAUAAGUUAUAAACUUGUAAUAAUCCAUUGUCACCUUGCUACCCUCAAAAGGUAUGCCAUCACAUUUACACUUUACAAUCAUAAUUGCAUAUGAAUAAAACCUUCUAUGGGAUAGAGAUUGAAUCCUUUGCAGACUGUUUCGCAGCUAACAUAGUAUUAGUAAGAAGCAUCUUCAUGUUUGGUUUAGAGUGAGCAUAAUCUACAGAUUUUCUUCCAUUCAAUUUAUUCAUUUGCAUAAUUUAAUCAAUCCCACUUCAAACAAAAGAUAGAAAAUUAAAAAAUCCAACAAAAUGAGAUGAAUAAAUUAUAUAUUAUUUUGAAGCUCCUUUUGAAAUGAGUUAUUAACUAUAAGAUUAUAUUUUGUGAAGGUUUCCUUGAAAAUGCUUAUAAAAUAAUCAGAACAUUUAAGUUUGUAUCUCCAUACAAACCCAUUGGUUUUUAUCACCCUUCCUCCUAAAUUAUUUGUCAGUUGAAAUUUUUGCAUCAGUACUCAUGUGCAGAAGAGUAUAUGACAACUUUAUAAAGCACUGAGGCACACAAGCAUAGCCUACAUAUCUUGACCUAUGCUAGGAUAAUAUGCUUCUUUUGCAAUAGUUUGAUUUCUUCACAAGUUAGAAACAUUCAGGGAUUACCACAGGUGCUUGUGGAAAUGUAGGGAAUGUAAACUACAUUCAAAAUCUUUAGAUGGUCUCAUUGAACUAGUUUCUUCCAACUAAGCAAGAAAUCAUCUAUAAGAACUGAUCAU